UCAGAUCAGAUUUAAGCAUAUUAGUCAGCGGAGGAAAAGAAACUAACCAGGAUUCCCUCAGUAACGGCGAGUGAACAGGGAAGAGCCCAGCGCCGAAUCCCCGCCGCGCGGCGCACGGAAGACCCACUCCCCGGCGCCGCUCGUGGGGGGCCCAAGUCCUUCUGAUCGAGGCCCAGCCCGUGGACGGUGUGAGGCCGGUAGCGGCCCCCGGCGCGCCGGGCCCGGGUCUUCCCGGAGUCGGGUUGCUUGGGAAUGCAGCCCAAAGCGGGUGGUAAACUCCAUCUAAGGCUAAAUACCGGCACGAGACCGAUAGCCAACAAGUACCGUAAGG
rnacentral:ncRNA from 1 species